rnacentral:rRNA from 1 species
AGAAUCAACGCUGGCGGCGUGCCUAACACAUGCAAGUCGAACGAGAAAGUGGAGCAAUCCAUGAGUAAAGUGGCGACCGGGUGAGUAACACGUGACUAACCUACCCUAGAGUGGGGAAUAACUUCGGGAAACCGAGGCUAAUACCGCAUAACAUCGCAGAGGGAAGCUCUUUGCGAUCAAAGGAGUAAUUCGCUCAAGGAGGGGGUCGCGGCUGAUUAGCUAGUUGGUGAGGUAACGGCCACCAAGGCUAAGAUCAGUAUCCGGCCUGAGAGGGCGCACGGACACACUGGAACUGAAACACGGUCCAGACUCCUACGGGAGGCAGCAGUGGGGAAUUUUGCGCAAUGGGGGAAACCCUGACGCAGCAACGCCGCGUGGAGGAUGAAGUCCCUUGGGAUGUAAACUCCUUUCGAUCGGGACGAUUAUGACGGUACCGGAAGAAGAAGCACCGGCUAACUCUGCGCCAGCAGCCGC